CAGGUCACCGUUUCAAGCAAAUUAACCCUAUACUAGUUCCCAAUUCUCAUCUACCUCCAAUCUGCAACUCCAAUUCCUUAAAUUCACCGUCUUCUAAAUCUUGAUCAUCGAUCAAGGCUGUUUUGUUGCAAUUGAAGCCGAAGCCGGCGAAUCAGAAGAAGCCCUUGAUCUCAGAGCAAUUUAGACUCGAUCCUUCAAUGUCCAGUACUAGGCGUUAUGUAUUUUUCAUCUCAGGCUUUUGCUUAAUGAAAAUCUACAUUUUGUUAUAAAUAGUCAGAGCUGAGUUCUGAUGAUAGUUGACAAUGCGUUUCCUCUGUCGCAUCAAUAUGAAUUUCGAUUGAUUUGGAAAUUGGCAUCGUUUUGGUUAGCUUUUGCCUGUUGCUUUUUAUGGGUUGUUUUCUUCAACAAGUAUUAGUUUUGGUGAAUUAUGUUGGGUAUUUAUGGGAUUCAGGUUUUGGUUAUGUUUGAUUAUUAUUGGGUUUUGAUGCUGUUCUUGAAAUCUCAUGUUUGGUUGCUGGGAAAUUGAAGCAGGACAAGAAGAGAGAAGAAAAUGCAGUGAACCUUUUUUGGUUGUUAGUUUGAGUUUAUUAUGCAAGUCUAUUGGUUUUACUGUUGUUGCUUGAAGAUUAUUAGUUUGAUUAUUGAGUUGGUAGUGCUAUAGGAAUUUUAGAUUGCCGUACUGAUGAGUUUAGGAAUUGACAGGAGAGGAAUACCAGUUUGAAGAAUUUGUGCAGGCGGAUUCCGAACUUCGCUCCCCAGAAGCAGGCAUAUCAAAGAGCCAAAUUCACAACACUAAGGCCGUGGAAAACUGAAGUUAUCUCGAAGAAAGUAGUCAUUGCACUUGGCAAGAGUGUAGCUGGAAGUAUCAAAGAGUAAGUUCAGAGUAUGGCAUAGGAAUGGAGGUGUCAACAAGUGGUGACAUCUAUAGCUAUGAAAUCCUGCUAUUUGAGAUGCUGAUAGGCAAGAGAUUGAUAUAUGACAUGUUUAAAGACGACCUGAACUUGCAUAAAUUUGUCAAAUAAGGCUUUGGCCUCCUUAUCCUAUUGGAUGGUGAUCAGAGCUGAGUCUUCUAGCCAUCCCAGCCAGCUUUUGAGCAACAGCACUUGGAGCCUAUUAUUGAAGAGGAGCUUUUGAACCAGCACAUGGACACUAUUGAAGAGCGUACGACUGGCUUUGAUUAUCCAACAAGAUGCUACCAGGCUACUUUGUUCUUGGGAUUUUAUGAUCUGUACCUAAAAUUAUGCCUGACCGGGACGGCUAGAAGACUGGGCUCUGAUCAAGAUGUUACCAGUAGACUUUGUUUGUGGGAUUUUAUGAUUUUUACUAAUUUUGAAUGCUAUGGAAACUUCUCUAAGUAUAUCAUGUCUUUAUUCAUUUGAAGUUCAGCUUCA